rnacentral:piRNA from 1 species
CAGUUGGAUUAGGAAUAUCUUUGCGCCCC